AGACAACCUUCACAAAAAUGCAUUUCUUAUCUUAAUGUAAUGAGUAAUGGUAGACCUUUGUCCCUUGAUAUUUUAAUUUUCUGUGACAUGAAGCUCACUCUGUUUAGUAGACUAAGAUGACCGUGGAAACCAAACACACUAACAUGAUUGUCCUGGUCAGUGAUUUAUUUCCCCCAAGGAUAUUGUGUAAUUUGUAGAUCCCAGACAUGGAUCGGACAUGGUAUCGCCUGUAUGUAGUUAAUAAGGUCUGUUAUAUGACCAUGGCAAGUGAGCCCUGUUCUGCCUUCAUACUCAUUUUGCCAGUGGGAUUAUUUGAAAAAGGAACUAGUGUGCAAUUGUAUUCCAUGGCCAGAAACAGAAUUUAUUUAUUUUGAUAUUUCUUAAGAUUAAAGUGAAAAGAAAAGUGUGCA